CCUACGGGAGGCAGCAGUGGGGAAUAUUGGACAAUGGGCGAAAGCCUGAUCCAGCAAUGCCGCGUGAGUGAUGAAGGCCUUAGGGUUGUAAAGCUCUUUUACCAGGGAUGAUAAUGACAGUACCUGGAGAAUAAGCUCCGGCUAACUCCGUGCCAGCAGCCGCGGUAAUACGGAGGGAGCUAGCGUUGUUCGGAAUUACUGGGCGUAAAGCGUACGUAGGCGGUUAUUCAAGUCAGAGGUGAAAGCCUGGAGCUCAACUCCAGAACUGCCUUUGAAACUAGAUAGCUAGAAUCUUGGAGAGGUGAGUGGAAUUCCGAGUGUAGAGGUGAAAUUCGUAGAUAUUCGGAAGAACACCAGUGGCGAAGGCGACUCACUGGACAAGUAUUGACGCUGAGGUACGAAAGCGUGGGGAGCAAACAGGAUUAGAUACCCUGGUAGUCCACGCCGUAAACGAUGAUAACUAGCUGUUCGGGCUCUACGAGCUUGAGUGGCGCNGCUACGACAUUAAGUUAUCCGUCCGUCGGGAGGUACGGUCGCGAGAAUAAACUAACGAAAGAAAGUAGACGGCGUGAGACGUGCCGAACGGACGACGACGAGGGAGGUAGG
rnacentral:rRNA from 1 species